GAUGAACGCUGGCGGCGUGCCUAAUACAUGCAAGUCGAGCGAACAGACGAGGAGCUUGCUCCUCUGACGUUAGCGGCGGACGGGUGAGUAACACGUGGAUAACCUACCUAUAAGACUGGGAUAACUUCGGGAAGCCGGAGCUAAUACCGGAUAAUAUAUUGAACCGCAUGGUUCAAUAGUGAAAGACGGUUUUGCUGUCACAUAUAGAUGGAUCCGCGCCGCAUUAGCUAGUUGGUAAGGUAACGGCUUACCAAGGCGACGAUGCGUAGCCGACCUGAGAGGGUGAUCGGCCACACUGGAACUGAGACACGGUCCAGACUCCUACGGGAGGCAGCAGUAGGGAAUCUUCCGCAAUGGGCGAAAGCCUGACGGAGCAACGCCGCGUGAGUGAUGAAGGUCUUCGGAUCGUAAAACUCUGUUAUUAGGGAAGAACAAAUGUGUAAGUAACUAUGCACGUCUUGACGGUACCUAAUCAGAAAGCCACGGCUAACUACGUG
rnacentral:rRNA from 1 species